UUUGAGGAGUAGAAGAUCUAGUGAGAACAAAGUUCUGAAUAUGUAUAAAGUCCUGAGGAAACAAAGAUCUUGUGGGGAUUUGUGCUUCUGCAAAAAGUGCAUUGCGUCAUUUUCACCUUGCAGAGGAUUUGCUGCUACACUGAAGAACUCGUUAUGUAAACUCCCAGGACAAACCAAUAGAGCGAUAUAUGCAUCCUCUUCAGAUCUCUGGUGACAUUCCAAACGUGCAAGCACAAUUCUGUGGGCCAGAAGACGCGUUGCAUUCGGCUUAGACUAAGCAAGCUUCCAUUGUGAAGUGGACAAAACACAUGGGACCAUCUUGAGAGAGAGAGAGAAGCAUCUUCUUCCAACCUGAUGGAGCAUGUUGAUCGCCUUCCGGUGACUGGUCUUGCUUUACAGACCAGAAGAACACAAGGCAUGGUUCCUGUUGGUCUCCUACUGUCUCAAUUCUACCUGCACGAGGAGGUUCCAGUGAAGAUGAAAAAGGAAAAGUGCCUUCAUAGAUGUAGAGAGAGAAUAUCCUCAUUAAUGAGAAGAGGCUUAAAAAGGGGAGGAAAGAUGGUCUUAUGGAUAGAGGCCAGGACUGGAAGAGAACAAAUGCCAACAUAGCCAAGAUCCAAAAAACUUGACCUCAGCCUCAUGUUGUUAUUGGAAGUUAGGGUGGUCACGGCCAUGGUACAAAAAAUGGGGACAUCCAGAAUGAUCCUGAAUGCUGAAACUGGCCAGCUGGCAGUGUGCACUGAGCAUCCCUAUGGAUUUUCCAGGGCACCUCCUUCAAAAACGGAUGAUCCUGGGCACAGUAUUGUGGUAGCCAUGGUGGGCCCAGGAUAUGAGGGAGACAAGAUGGGUGAAGUAAUAUCAUCUAAUGGACCAACUUCUGUUGAUGAAAGAGACAAGCUUUCCAGAUCCACAGAGCCCAACAUCAAUAUCAAAUAGUACAGUUAAGAAAUCCACUUCCGCACUUGGACACAGCAACUCCAUAAAAAGCAAAGUUCUGUUAAAUCUCCUUUAUCUUCUGUGAUUGUUUUGAAUUAAACAUGAAUUGCAUCUCAAGGUCAAAGGAAGCAAUUAAAACGGGUUGUUUGCAAAGGAAGCCAUCAGUUCAGAUUUAAUCUCUUUGGCCCAAGUUAAAGUUCAAAAUGGAAUAUUUAAAAGACUGUUUUUUAACACAGGUGCCAUAUUUGUAUGACAACAUUGCACAUUCUGACCUGACCUCACAGGAAGUCUCAUCACACUUAUUCAUAGAUUAAUAGACUCCAAGAGGAACCUUAAGAACCAUUGAAUCUGACCACCUGUGAAGCAUAGGACAUAGAACUUCCCCACAAUAGUUCCUAGAGCAGAACUUUCAGAAAAAACAUCCAAUUUUAACUUCCAUUGAAAUCAAUGGGAAAAAAGCCUCCUGAAUCCAACGAGAGCUGGACUAACUGCAGAAUUAUGGAGUGAAGACAUGUAAUCGUCAUACUGUGAAAAUAUCUUUUUAAAAAAAUGGUUUUAUAGCUGGGAGAAAUUAUGCUGAUCGCAGUCUGAAAUUAUAAAUUAGACAUAGAACUAAAAGAUAUUUGGCAGUAGGUAGUGGAUCCAGUGUACAUUGGUCCCUGUAGGCCACGCCACAGGUACACUGGUGUAGCAGAAUUGAGGAAAUAUAGAUCCCCAUUGCUGGGCUGUUCCUUUUGUGGGGAUAAGUAUAUUCUUGUGGCACAAGUCCCAGAUAGUGGAAUUAUAUAGUUUUAUCCAAUUUCUUUUUUUGGUGUUUGAGCAAGAUAUAGUCUAUGCUAAACUAUUGUGUUAUGUACCAAAUCCACUUUCUGCUUGUGGGCAAAUCUUCUGUGAUGGCCACUCCAUAAAACUCCUUAAGCCAGCUGCUCCUCAUGGAGAAAGAAAUCCCUGGAUAAUUGUACAAAAAAAUGCCUGCUUUGCACAAAUAUUCCAAACUGCUUCUAGUCACUGCCUGAUAACUGUAGAACCACUUUGUCCACUCAGAUAUUAACAGCUAGCAGCUACAUAGCAAUUUAGUUUAAAUAUGUAAUUUGCAUUGAAGGCCAUAAAGAAAUUUCAACAGUUGAUAUAAAGUGAUUAGUAACACUUAGUCCUUAACUUCAAUGGGGUUUAUGAACAUAAAUUAAUGCUUACAACUCCAAGUGUUUCCCUCAUGUUACAGAAGGGGAAAAUAUAAAUAUUAGUGUCAGCGGGAGACACUGUCAGAACAAGUUUAGAACUCAACAGUUCCUGACUGCAGGCCUAUCUUCAGAUGAUGCUUCUCUACAGGCAUUCUUGCCGCCAUAUGUAACUUAAUAUCAUGCUAUUUUAUUCUCAAAUGGAAUGUGUUAAUCCAAAUAGUUUUUUCAGGUUUUUAUUUGUGCAUCUACAUUGGGUGUCCCUGCCUGUCCAACCAGCACUCUGUGCCCCAAACUCUUUUCUUAGUUUCCUCUACAGCAAUAUUGUCAGCACUACAGGUACUGCUUGCUGGCUGCCCCCUCCUUCACUUAUAUGCACCCUUAUCCAAGCAAUGCCCAGCUGAGUCCCUGCCUGUUUCAUUAGGAAAGAACAGAGCUGAAUGCAGGUUAAGUUGAACGUAUUAAACCUACAGCCUGCUCUGUCCAUUGAGAUUAGUUGCUUCCAGUUCCUCCUCAGUCAUGGUUCUACCAAAGAACAUGGGUCAUCUGACUUCAGUUCCACUGGUCAGGAUAUAUUGCCCACAUAGUUAACAUUCCAGAUUGACCUUAAGAAUGUCUUUCUUUUGGCUGGAGACACGGACUUGCACUAGGCUGCUUAACUGCUUACAAUGCCUGCUUACAAUGGCUUCUUCACAUUUAUUCUGAAUACAAGGCAGUGAUUAUGCCCAACCCGUAAUAAUAAGGUUUCACCGAAUCCUAACAUUAGCUUGAUUUUUAUAGGUCUAUAGCUAUGUUACUGAUACAACUUUGGGUUUUUUUUUAUGGAUAACACCUAUACAUUAUU